AUACGGAGGGUGCAAGCGUUAAUCGGAAUUACUGGGCGUAAAGCGCGCGUAGGCGGUUUGGUAAGUCGGAUGUGAAAGCCCCGGGCUCAACCUGGGAAUUGCAUUCGAUACUGCCAGACUAGAGUAUGGUAGAGGGAAGUGGAAUUCCGGGUGUAGCGGUGAAAUGCGUAGAUAUCCGGAGGAACACCAGUGGCGAAGGCGACUUCCUGGACCAAUACUGACGCUGAGGCGCGAAAGCGUGGGGAGCAAACAGGAUUAGAUACCCGAGUAGUCC
rnacentral:rRNA from 1 species